rnacentral:rRNA from 1 species
AAUGGGUCAGCGACUUAUAUUCUGUAGCAAGGUUAACCGAAUAGGGGAGCCGAAGGGAAACCGAGUCUUAACUGGGCGUUAAGUUGCAGGGUAUAGACCCGAAACCCGGUGAUCUAGCCAUGGGCAGGUUGAAGGUUGGGUAACACUAACUGGAGGACCGAACCGACUAAUGUUGAAAAAUUAGCGGAUGACUUGUGGCUGGGGGUGAAAGGCCAAUCAAACCGGGAGAUAGCUGGUUCUCCCCGAAAGCUAUUUAGGUAGCGCCUCGUGAAUUCAUCUCCGGGGGUAGAGCACUGUUUCGGCAAGGGGGUCAUCCCGACUUACCAACCCGAUGCAAACUGCGAAUACCGGAGAAUGUUAUCACGGGAGACACACGGCGGGUGCUAACGUCCGUCGUGAAGAGGGAAACAACCCAGACCGCCAGCUAAGGUCCCAAAGUCAUGGUUAAGU